rnacentral:rRNA from 1 species
GACGAACGCUGGCGGCGUGCCUAAUACUUGCAAGUAGAACGCUGAAGAGAGGAGCUUGCUCUUCUUGGAUGAGUUGCGAACGGGUGAGUAACGCGUAGGUAACCUGCCUUGUAGCGGGGGAUAACUAUUGGAAACGAUAGCUAAUACCGCAUAACAAUGGAUGACACAUGUCAUUUAUUUGAAAGGGGCAAUUGCUCCACUACAAGAUGGACCUGCGUUGUAUUAGCUAGUAGGUGAGGUAACGGCUCACCUAGGCGACGAUACAUAGCCGACCUGAGAGGGUGAUCGGCCACACUGGGACUGAGACACGGCCCAGACUCCUACGAGAGGCAGAAGUAGGGAAUCUUCGGCAAUGGGGGCAACCCUGACCGAGCAACGCCGCGUGAGUGACGAAGGUUUUCGGAUCGUAAAGCUCUGUUGUAAGUCAAGAGCGAGUGUGAGAGUGGAAAGUUCACACUGUGACGGUAGCUUACCAGAAAGGGACGGCUAAGUACGUG